ensembl:lncRNA
GUAAAUUGUGUGCGUUGGGGGGAAAAAUACGGUAUUUUAUUUGGUCAUGAGACGGAUGUUUAUUUGAAAUAUCUUGUGAAAUCGAUUUUUUAAAUUGUUUCAGCAUAUGUGAAUAUCUCUGUUGGUGUACAUUGUGUGCGUUGGGGGGUUAUCAAGUAAUGGAUGCCAGGAUCAUGGGUUUUCAGAAAUAAAAUUAAAAUAUGUUUAAAAUAACACUGGCAAUGGCAGCAGCGAAUGGCUGUGAGAGGUUAUGGGUGCCUGCGUCAGGGUCUCUCUGCUCUCUCCCACCUUCGUUCUUCCUGCUUGCAAUUGAAGCUGGAAGGAAAAGGAGUACUGUAUAGUUUAGGGUUUCUUGUUUAAAAAAAAACAAAACCAGAAAAGAGAUCCAGCAGAGAGAGAAAGGCUUUUAGGGAGUUUAGGCAGGAUUUGAUCUGGAACCCAUUACAUGUCUCUUCCAGAUAAUUUAAAACAAAUUGCUUUUUUCCCUGCCACCUUUCUUCAUUGUACAACUUUCAGAUCCUUACAUAAUAAUUGUGGAAACCAUGGCAAUUUGGCCUUUGUUCCUAGUGACACACAAUUAGGAAUCUUUUCUAGUUCCUUCAUAGCUACUCUUCUGAGUCUCAGUCUUCCUCUGAUUUCUUGGCUGCAAUUCCAUUUCGAUUGAUGAUUGAACCAAGAGACAGGAAAUAUUUAACAAUUCUGAAUAUAUUUUUUUGUUGGUCUUCUUAAUGUUCAAAUGUAAUCCUGCUUUUACACUUUCUUCUUUGACCUGUAAGAGUUGUUUCAAGUUGUUGCUUUUUCUUUGUCUAAUUUUUAAUUCAGCUUUUCAUCUGCUUUGUUCUGCAUAUAGAUUGAACAGAUAGGAAGAUAAAAUAAAUUUUCCUCUGACACCUUUUCCCAUUGGAAACUGUUCUGUUUUUCCUCUCUCUCUCCCUCUAAAUGUUAGCAUCUUUAUGUAUCAGGACAACCAAACGUUGUGGCACACCCACUUCUUUAAGAACAAUCUGGAGCUGUGCAAAACUACUACUAUGGGUCUCAGGAGUUAUCAUGCUGUGCCAAAGUUGUUUCCCUUUGUUUCUUCCUAUUUCCCUUGCUUUGUCUUUUUUCUUUGUUUCUCAGCCAUUGGAGGGCAGCCUCCUCCUUAUCCUUAUGAUUGCCAGUCAUUCAUUUGCCCAGAUGCCUCCAUCCUUGAGAGCAAAAGACGCCAGUUCCUCUUUCAGUUUUUCUUUGUUUAUUAAUAUCUGGCAGAGCGUCUUCUCCCACCUAGUUCUACCCAAAUCACCCGACAUAGCCAGCAGGGACGGCUGAGGGGUCUAACGCCGAGAGAGGCCUGGAAAGAAAGAACAAGAAACCGGGCCUUCUUGGCAGUGGCCCCUCAGCUUUGGAACAGCCUCCCGACAGAAAUUCGUCUGGCACUCUCGCCGGAUGUUUUUAAAAACCAUUUGAAAACAUGGCUUUUCAGGCAGGCUUUCCCUCCAGUCAAUUAAACUGACCUUUAGUUUUUCUUUACUCUUCCCAUCUUGGCAAGGAUGUAUAUAAUUGUUAAAAUGUUGAUGUUUAAAUGUUUUUAAUGUUGAUGUUUGCUAUGUUUUUAUGUAUGUAAGCCGAGUAGACCUUGUCAAGGGGGGCAGGGUAAAAAUCUAAUAAAAGUAAAAAGUAAAGUAAAAAGUAAUUCUCU